ACUUCAAUCAAAUUAAAAAAAAAUCUUUCAUGUCAUAAACGUUUCCUCACUCGUUCGCUUGUGUAAUAAUUUAUCCUCGUUUUAAUAGUAUUACAAUAAGGAUUCUUUAAAAAUUAUACUAGAUUUUUAACAAAUACUUUGAAUAUUAUCAGUGCUCAUUAUGUCUCGGUACCGUGAAUGGGAUCUCUCCUGCAAAGUAUACGUCGGAAAUCUUGGCACAAAUGCAUCAAAAUACGAAAUUGAGAAAGUUUUCUCCAAAUAUGGGAACAUACGAAAUGUGUGGGUUGCACGUAAUCCACCAGGAUUUGCUUUUGUCGAAUUUGAGGAUCCACGUGAUGCCGAGGACUCUGUGCGUGGUCUAGAUGGAACACGUUGCUGUGGAACGCGUAUUCGCGUUGAAAUGUCAAACGGUCGCACCAGAAGAGAGCGUCGGUACUCCAGGUCCAUUUUAUCAACCAACCACCAACACACCGACCUCACCACAUCUCUUCACCACAACUACGGCUCGUUUACCAAUAAGACAUCCGCGAACGCCGCUCGCAACAACAUCCCGCUCAACUUCUGCGAUCAGCUCUCCAAACUGCUACGCGCAACCGAAGUCUCCAACAACUGCGUCCUACUGAUACUCCCGACAGCCAUUACCUAGUCCUACCCUAAUCCGUACCUGGACACGAGUUACGUAUUUGAGAGCCACACAGUAGUAUCCUGUAACCGUCCUGAAUGUCAUGCAAACUCCUGAUGCUUCACCGACUGCACACACUCGUCGUCACCGAGGCACCGAGCUAGAAUACAACCUAACGGCGCUCUACUCUCCUAGCGUUACCUCAAUCUCUCUCGAAACUCCCGGUAUAUGCCACCGUUCGACGGGGGAUUACAUUGAAACUCAUCUUCGCCUCAAUACAAGUUAAAAUUCCUUCGGCCUCACAGCAGCCCCACAACGAUCAACGACCUUCUUCGCAGGCUCACCAAGUCUCGAUCCCGCAGCCGCAGCCCACGUCGGCGCUCGUACUCGCGCGGCCGCUCGAUCUCCCCGCGCCGCUCGCCGUCCGUUCGCCGCCGCUCGCCAUCAGUACGCCGCUCGCGCUCUCGCGACCGACGCAGCCGGUCCGAUAGCAAG